AUGGAAUCAUUUCCGCCAAAUGUGACGUUCAAAAGAGACUUAAUUGGACCCAGACUCCAAUCGUGCAACCUCCUGCACCAACGGUUGUCCACGGUGCAAUUGUCACAUGGGUCUGAUGUAUUCCGAUGGAACCUCCAUGGGAAUGGACAAUUCUCAGUGGAUUCUAUGUAUAGAGCGUUAAUCCAGUCUGAUGUGUCAGUUGUUAAUAACAAGAAGAUCUGGAAGAUGAAGAUACAUCUUAAGAAUAAAAUCUUUGCAUGGUAUCUUCGUCGCGGAGUCAUUCUUACUAAAGAUAACCUUAUUAAGAGGAAUUGACAUGGAAGCCCACAAUGUGUCUUUUGUCACCACGGGGAGACAAUAAAACAUUUAUUCUUCCAAUGCAAAUUGGCUCGUUCUAUAUGUCCAGUCAUCCAAAUAGCUUCUGGCUUGUAUCCUCCCUGUAGUGUUUCUAAUGUAUUUGGCAACUAG
rnacentral:rRNA from 1 species